rnacentral:rRNA from 1 species
CGCCCCUUGGAAAGUAGCUUAGGUCUUAGAUAUAAGGGGUACUGCCUGCCCAGUGACGUAGAAGUUAAACGGCCGCGGUAUUUUGACCGUGCAAAGGUAGCAUAAUCAUUUGCCUUUUAAAUGGAGGCUGGAAUGAAUGGCAAGACGGAAAUUUAACUGUCUCUUUCUUAAAGACCCUGAAAUUAAUGUUCUAGUGAAGAAGCUAGAAUAUAAUCGUGGGACGAGAAGACCCUGUUGAGCUUUAGCAGGUAAGGUAGUCGUAAUAUUUUUAUUUAGGGCUAAUUAUUAAGAAUUAAUUUGAGGAUUAAAAGUUUACCUUAAAUAAAAGGAAUGUCGUAUUUUAUUCUGUUUUGGUUGGGGCAACUGCGGAGUAUAAUUAGCCUCCGCUUUAUAAAGUAUAAAAGUACAUUUUUUGCUAAUAAAAGUUUUUUAUGAGUGAUCCACUACAAAAGUGAUCAAAGGAAUAAGUUACCACAGGGAUAACAGCGUAAUUUUUUUGGAGAGUUCAUAUUGAUAAAAAAGUUUGCGACCUCGAUGUUGGAUCGAGACUUCCUGGAGGUGCAGCAGCUUCCAAGGGUUGGUCUGUUCGACCAUUAAAGUCUUACG